rnacentral:rRNA from 1 species
AGUGAACGCUGGCGGUAGGCCUAACACAUGCAAGUCGAACGGCAGCACAGUAAGAGCUUGCUCUUACGGGUGGCGAGUGGCGGACGGGUGAGGAAUACAUCGGAAUCUACUUUUUCGUGGGGGAUAACGUAGGGAAACUUACGCUAAUACCGCAUACGACCUACGGGUGAAAGCAGGGGAUCUUCGGACCUUGCGCGAGUGAAUGAGCCGAUGUCGGAUUAGCUAGUUGGCGGGGUAAAGGCACACCAAGGCGACGAUCCGUAGCUGGUCUGAGAGGAUGAUCAGCCACCCUGGAACUGAGAAACGGCACAGACUCCUACGGGAGGCAGCAGUGGGGAAUCUUGGACAAUGGGCGCAAGCCUGAUCCAGCCAUACCGCGUGGGUGAAGAAGGCCUUCGGGUUGUAAAGCCCUUUUGUUGGGAAAGAAAAGCAGCAGGUUAAUACCCCGCUGUUCUGACGGUACCCAAAGAAUAAGCACCGGCUAACUUCGUG